UGAAAAAACCUUAAAAUGAGCAUCACUGCAUAAAACUUAUUUACUAAUUUACUCAAUCAUUCAACAGUAUAUUAUCAUUCAUCAAUACGUUUAGUACACAUCAUAAGACACACAAGUGUAGACAAUACAAUAAAUAAGAUUCAAAUUCGUUUAAUUCAUAAUCCCGACCAAACAUGCACUAAGCGCAGGAGCAGCAGCAGAUAUCCAAGCAGCACUCACAAGUCUCGUAGCAAAGGAAACAGCAACAAAGAGCAAACAGGCUGGAAAUUACAAUCAAAUAAUAUGUAUAAAGCAGAGUUUUAAUCCAAAAAAUAGUGAAAUUAAUCAAAAAAAGUGAUUAUAAAGGUACAAACCAAGCAUAAAGAUGGCCCUUUUCCUCCCUGCGUCUUUGAAUAUGAUCAAAGUAUGACAUUUCUUGAUAUCCUGGAGGAGCAUACAUGUUUAGUCAACACUGAUUUCUAAUGGUGGAAGCAAGAAAAAGUGAGGGCAUCGUAAAGAAAAAUAUGGGUACAUAUAGGGGGUGAA
rnacentral:lncRNA from 1 species